rnacentral:rRNA from 1 species
UACGUAGGUGGCAAGCGUUGUCCGGAAUUAUUGGGCGUAAAGCGCGCGCAGGUGGUUCCUUAAGUCUGAUGUGAAAGCCCACGGCUCAACCGUGGAGGGUCAUUGGAAACUGGGGAACUUGAGUGCAGGAGAGAAGAGUGGAAUUCCACGUGUAGCGGUGAAAUGCGUAGAGAUGUGGAGGAACACCAGUGGCGAAGGCAGGCU